rnacentral:tRNA from 1 species
GCGGGUGUAGCUCAGCGGUAGAGCAUCACGUUGCCAACGUGGAGGUCGUGGGUUCGAAUCUCAUCACCCGCU